rnacentral:rRNA from 1 species
UUCCAGACUCCUACGGGAGGCAGCCGUCGGGAAUAUUGCUCAAUGGGGGAACCCCUGAAGCAGCACCUCCUCGUGGAGGCUGCAGGUUUUAGGAUUGUCCACUCCUUUUGUUCUAGAAGAUUCUGCCGGUAUCUACCUCUUCAGCACCGUCUCCCUCCGUGCCCGCCGCCGCGGUAAUCCGUCGGGUGCAAUCUUUACUCGGAAUCACUGGGCGGAAAGAGUGCGUAGGCGGGGGAAUAAGUCAGAUGUGAAAUCCGGGAGAGUAACUACAGAACUGCAUUUGAAACUGUUACUCUGGAGUGUGGGAGAGGUAGGUGGAAUUCUUGGUGUAGGGGUAAAAUCCGUAGAGAGCAAGAGGAAUACUCAUUGCGAAGGCGACCUGCUGGAACAUUACUGACGCUGAUGCACGAAAGCGUGGGGAGCAAACAGGAUUAGAUACCCUCGUA